rnacentral:rRNA from 1 species
GCAAUACCAUAGUGGCGCACGGGUGCGUAACACGUAACUAACCUACCUAUAACUGGGGGAUAGCCCGCCGAAAGGCGGAUUAAUACCGCAUAAGCUAGUUAAACGGCAUCGUUUGACUAGUAAAGAUUUAUUGGUUAUAGAUGGGGUUGCGGGUCAUUAGCUAGUUGGUAAGGUAACGGCUUACCAAGGCGACGAUGACUAGGGGAGCUGAGAGGCUGGUCCCCCACACGGGCACUGAGAUACGGGCCCGACUCCUACGGGAGGCAGCAGUAGGGAAUAUUGGGCAAUGGGCGAGAGCCUGACCCAGCCAUGCCGCGUGCAGGAAGAAGGCUUUCUGAGUCGUAAACUGCUUUUGACAGGGAAGAAUAAGCACUACGUGUAGUGCGAUGACGGUACCUGCAGAAUAAGCACCGGCUAACUCCGUGCCAGCAGCCGC